rnacentral:lncRNA from 1 species
ACCAAAUAACCAGACCACACAUAACACCGCAAGCAAUUUGUAUGGAAACGGUGCUCCGGGAGGAGGUUUUGCUGGUGGGUAUGGUUAUGAUGGGUUUUAUGCUCCUGUGCCAUGUUACGACGGCUCUAAGUAUUCAGAUGUGCAGAGAUCUGGUAGUGGAGUUGCUUCCUCCUAUUCUAAGGCAACUACUGUACCAUCAUCGAGGAAUCAAAAUUACCGCUCAAAUUCCCAUUACACGGUAUGUUAUUUUUCUGUAUUUCCUUGUAUUGACGAACGCUAUUUUUAUUGGACUAAAAAUUGGUCCUUAAUCAAUGUUUUCUUUUGCACCAGCCUGCCUCAAUGACAGGCUACGGUACAGGUCAGGGAUACUACAACAGGGUGUAUCAGAACAAGGUAUAUGGUAGCUAUGGAAGCUCAGG